CAUGCGGGUAAAGGCGGGGUUUUCCUUCGAGAUCUAGGUUACGAUUGGUCCGAGCUCCGAAAUGCUCGACCAUAGAGUCGGCGGGACUCCGAGGUUCCAUAACCUCGCGUACAAAAUGGCGACCGAGGUGGAAGCUGAAGAAAAAGGCGUGAAGGAGAUGACUGAACGCCUGAUGCUGGAGGACACAUGACCUUGGCCCCGAGCUUUCAUUCGGGCGCUCCGACCCGGGGCGCGUUGCAUUUUGGGAUUUGUAGUCGGGUCGGAGGCCCCGAGGACCACAGAGAUCCCGCGAGACGUUACUCUGAGGCCCGGCGAGCCCACGCCUUUGCAGCAAUUCUCAUCCAGUGGUUCGAGGGAGUUCGGCUUCCGCCAUAUGGAAUGGAGGGUCUCUGUAAUGUGACUCUCCCAGCCUCCGGCCUGCAUGCCAGCAGAGGCACUACUCCCAGCAGGAAGCUCAGCUCAGUACCAAAGCUGUCAUUGGCAAGCACUGGGUGACAUAAAGGAGACAGGACAGGACAAGGAAUUCUGCAGGAGCUGGGACAGCUGGGGACAUCUGGAGACACGCAAAAAUUUACACCAGACACUUCAAGGACUGUCCACUGAGACAUAGGACAGCCGGAGAACUCUGACCACAGAUGUGCAUUAAAAUCUCCCUGGCGAAUGUC